rnacentral:snRNA from 1 species
AGGUUCGCCCUGCUAAACCCAA